CAUGAUUAGUUUUGCAGGUUUGCAUCCAGUUAUCUCUAUACUCUGCUGUGCAAAUCCAUGCAAAACUGAUCAUGGC